rnacentral:rRNA from 1 species
AUGCUUGCCGAAAGGCUAGCUCUGAUCACCUCCGUUUUAUAUGCCUUGCCAAUAUUCCAGAUUAUGGCUAUUGAACCUCCACGGUGAGCUGUCAAGAAGUAUGACAAAUGUUGCCGAGGUUUCCUUUGGGCAAAUAAAGAUGAGCCUAUUGGGGGCAAAUGCCUAGUGAACUAGAAGCAAGUUUGCCUACCUAAAAAGCUUGGUGGCCUUGGGAUUCCUUGUCUGAACAAAAAAAGUGAGGCAGUGCGAUGCAAAUGGUUAUGGCUCUCUUGGAUGGACACUUCUCGGCCAUGGCUUGGGUUACCUUUGCCUAUUAAUUGCUCUGUCAGGUGUCUUUUCGAGGCGUCAAUUCAGUUCAACAUUGGUGAUGGAGCCAACACCACGUUUUGGACUGACGUCUGGCACAAUAGAGAGAGUUUCUGUAAGAGGUUCCCUGACUUGUUCAGACAAUGCACUAUCAAAACAAUCUCCAUCCAAUAUGUUAUGACUGAUGGAAAAUGGAUGCGACACUUCAAGGGUAAUCUCUCUCAAGACUCACUCACUUAG